rnacentral:misc_RNA from 1 species
GAUGAAGAACUAGCGAAAUGCGAUACGUAAUGUGAAUUGCAGAAUUCAGUGAAUCAUCGAGUCUUUGAACGCACAUUGCGCCCCCUGGUAUUCCGGGGGGCAUGCCUGUCCGAGCGUCAUUGCUGCCCUCAAGCACGGCUUGUGUGUUGGGCCUCCGUCCUCCUCCCGGGGGACGGGCCCGAAAGGCAGCGGCGGCACCGCGUCCGGUCCUCGAGCGUAUGGGGCUUCGUCACCCGCUCUUGUAGGCCCGGCCGGCGCUUGCCGACACAUCAAUCUUUUUUCCAGGUUGACCUCGGAUCAGGUAGGGAUACCCGCUGAACUUAAGCAUAUCAAUAAGCGGAGGA